AGCAUGCUGUAGGUUGCCACAACAGGAGAUUUGUUUUGUUUUUCGUCUAGAACUUGACAAUAUACAUUUUCUUAUAAAAGGUUUAAAAGUGAUUAGAAUUAACCGCUCAUCCCCGGAAAACAAUUGGGGAUUCUGAAUAGUUCCUCUAUUGGUAGCAUCUUAAUAGCACCAAUCGAUUUCAAAACACAAUCGGAAUCGAUUAUUGCUCUUGAGGUCGAACCCAUAGGAAAAUAUUUCAGAAUUCCGAAACGAUCACUGGAUGUUUUUUUUUAAAUUCGUUUAGAUCCGUGAGCAGUCAACACCGUAGCAAAGUUUAUUGCUGGGGCCCUAUUCUCACAGUCAUGUCACCUAGUGAUUAGAAUAAAAAAAAUGAAUUUUCUUCAAUAAUUAAUUAUCAAUGAUAGGACUGUGAGAAAGGAGCAUCUGGAAAGUUACGAUUAUUCACUUUUCUCAAGUCCAACGCUCUACCUGAUUUACACCAUUUUCCAAUGAAAUCUCAGGAAAGGCGACACAUCAUUCAAACAAAAGGGUCCUAAAUUCGUAACUGGUAUGUUUUUCAAUACCCUGGUGACUAUUUUACGUUCGUUACAGCGUCAACGAUUCGGUUUCAUAAAAUAAAGUGCACAAGACUUUUGGUGACAUAUGAGGUGAUCGAAGCAUCAAUGAGUGGUGGACAAUAUAAAUAAUGUACCGUUCUUAGAUCACGAAAUAUACAUGAACUCAUCCGAAUCAUCCCCAGAGUAUAGUUGUUCUCCUAAUUGCUAAUUAUAACUCCACAUAUUUA